rnacentral:tRNA from 1 species
AGCCCCGUCGCCAAGUGGUUUAAGGCACCUGGCUCUGAACCAGGCAUUCGGUGGUUCGAAUCCAUCCGGGGCUGCCA